GACGAACCGGACGAACGUUAUUCGGAAUCACUGGGCUUAAAGGGUGCGUAGGCGGCUCAGAAAGUUGGGUGUGAAAGCCCUCGGCUCAACCGAGGAACUGCGCUCAAAACUACUGAGCUUGAGGGAGACAGGGGUGAGCGGAACUGAUGGUGGAGCGGUGAAAUGCGUUGAUAUCCUUAGGAACACCGGUGGCGAAAGCGGCUCACUGGGUCUUUUCUGACGCUGAGGCACGAAAGCUAGGGGAGCGAACGGG
rnacentral:misc_RNA from 1 species